UCAGACCUUGGGGGGUCACGGGUCUCCCGCGCUCGGGGUGGGCUCGUGGUGAGAUGAGUGUGCGCAUAAAGCUGUGCGCGGUUGGCUGCGUUCUGAACCGGAACAGGAAAGACUGCCGGCGGGUCACCUGCCCUGAGCUUUGGUUUUCAAAAACUUGAAGCCUUCAGAGGAACAUCAAGACAUGGAUGGACAUGGAAGCUAGCUUCCAGGUCACCAUCUCUCUCUGGACUGCCAUGCAAUAUCUUCUGAGUUAUGACCCCAGCAGCUGUUGUGGGAUGCAGCCCUUUAUCUUGGACUUUCCAGUCUAGAUCCACCAUGCGCAUGAGCUUCUCUUGUUUAUAAACUACUCAGUCUGUAGCAUUGUUUCAACAGCUUCAAACAGACGAAGAGAAAGACCUCCUCUGCUAAAGAUCCUCCAUUACUCACCAGCUAUAGGGCUUGGGGUGUUCUGCAACCCUUGCAACACCCCAAAUAGGCCACACCCUAGUUGUAUUUUGCUUUUACACUGGUU